ACCCCCGUGUGGUGGGAGGAUGUCUGGCUGAAGGAAGGCUUCGCCCACUUCUUUGAAUACGUUGGAACGGACUUCCUCUUCCCCAAAUGGAACAUGGAGAAGCAGCGUUUCCUGACUGAUGUUCUCCAUGAGGUGAUGCUGCUGGACGGUCUGGCCAGCUCCCAUCCUAUCUCUCAGGAGGUGUACGACGCCACGGACAUAGACAGAGUGUUCGACUGGAUCGCAUACAAGAAGGGUGCUGCUCUGAUCAGGAUGCUGGCUAACGUCAUGGGGCAGCAGGUGUUCCAGAGAGGACUCAAUG